UACGGGGGGAGCAAGCGUUGUUCGGAUUUACUGGGCGUAAAGGGCGCGUAGGCGGUCGUGACAAGUCACUUGUGAAAUCUCCGGGCUUAACUCGGAACGGUCAAGUGAUACUGUCGGACUAGAGUACAGAAGGGGCAACUGGAAUUCUCGGUGCAGCGGUGAAAUGCGUAGAUAUCGAGAGGAACACCUGCGGCGAAGGCGGGUUGCUGGGCUGAUACUGACGCUGAGGCGCGAAAGCCAGGGGAGCGAACGGG
rnacentral:rRNA from 1 species